GUUCCGCCAGGAGCAUCGCUCGGUAGCUAUGUCCGGCAGGGAUAAGCGCUGAAGGCAUCUAAGCGCGAAACCCGCCUGAAGAUGAGACCUCCCGGGGCGCAAGCCCCCUGAAGGGCCCUCGUAGAUUACGAGGUUGAUAGGCCGGAGGUGUAAGCGCGGCAACGCGUUGAGCUGACCGGUACUAAUCGCCCGUGCGGCUUGACCAC
rnacentral:rRNA from 1 species